rnacentral:lncRNA from 1 species
AAAAGCUUAGGUCAGGACUGCCACCGUAUCGGACCGUCAUUUUUGUCCGGGAUUUCGUCGCUGUAACAUAUCAAUCUAUGAACUUUUAAAAUUAUGUUGGGUAUUGUUCCUCAAAAUUAAUAAAACCUUACUGUGAACUUUGGAAGCAGAAAUAAGUAAAUUUAUGUAGGAUGAUUGUGGAUAACCUUGGCCAACCAAUGCUGCUUGCUUGCGCUUCUGUCCAUGAGGUUACAUCCCCUGGUGGAUGAACCAUUUUGGGGUUGAUCUUCCACUGCACAAGCAAAUCUAUUUUGUCACCAUGUGCUCCCUUAGUAAUGGUUCUGGUAUGAAGCUUUUGAAAAAUAGUGAUUUUGAAAACAUGUUGAAAAUUGUUUGUGGUGAAGUAUCCUGGUAACAUGCGGUUAUGCUAUAAUCCCAGCAUUCUGCAUUACAAAGCAGGAUGACUGAUGUUUGCUUUCCUUCUGUCUGUGAAGUUUAAUUCCCUGGAGGAUUGAUGUUGGUGGGUUUGUUAAACAUUAAUAGUAUUUUGGGGUUAAAAGAAAAACAAAAAUUUUUAUUUUUAGGGUUGAUCUUCCAUUGCACAAUCAAAAAUAUUUUGCUACCUGCUCUCCUAGUCAUGGUUCUGAUAUGAAGCUAUGGUCCGGAAAAAUAGUUAUUUUGAAAACAUGUUGUAUGCUAAAAUCCCUGCAUGACAAAGGUUACUAUAAGGAGCUUUUCUGCUGGUGAUGGUGUGUGGGAUUUUGUUUUGCAGAUGCUGAUUGCAACAAUAUUGUGAGUCCCCAAUGCAAUUCGUUGGUUAUGCCAUGGCCAGUAACUGGAUGGUUGAAUUUUGUGAUGUGUUUGAGAGUUAGUAACCAUUCUUACUGUAUGGUUUUACUUCUGGCUGCUGUGGAGCUUUAACUGAAAUAUGUUGGUUCGUGAUCAGCGCUUGGUUGUCCUGUUGAAGUGUAUAUCCAUAUCAGACGCAUUACCUGUGGAUUAUUUUAUUGGGUAAUUUCGUACGUUGACGAAGGUUCUCCUCACGUGUUCAAAAUACACGCGGAGCAAACUGCAGAGAACGUAUGGAAUCGAGUAUAUUAACAACGCGUGAUUAUUUCGUUCUCAGUGCUGGUACCUAUGCUCAUGCUGAGCUUUUAGGAAUGAAGUUUGUCUUGGUAAAAUCACCAUUGUCAAGAUUGAAUGGUAGUGGAGCCGAAGAAGCAAGUUUCGUCACAAAUGGUUGGUGGGACUUGGAGUUGAUCAAAGUUUUCUCUGUACUUUUGUUAUCUCAUAUUGUAGUAUUUAAAACAAAAGAAAAUAUUUGAUAUGAUAUUUUGUGUUA